rnacentral:rRNA from 1 species
GACGAACGCUGGCGGCGUGCUUAACACAUGCAAGUCGAACGGAAAGGCCUUUUCGGAGGUACUCGAGUGGCGAACGGGUGAGUAACACGUGGGUGAUCUGCCCUGCACUCUGGGAUAAGCCUGGGAAACUGGGUCUAAUACCGGAUAGGACCGCACUUUAGUGUGUGUGGUGGAAAGUUUUUUCGGUGUAGGAUGAGCCCGCGGCCUAUCAGCUUGUUGGUGGGGUAAUGGCCUACCAAGGCGGCGACGGGUAGCCGGACUGAGAGGUUGGUCGGCCACAUUGGGACUGAGAUACGGCCCGGACUCCUACGGGAGGCAGCAGUGGGGAAUAUUGCACAAUGGGCGCAAGCCUGAUGCAGCGACGCCGCGUGGGGGAUGACGGCCUUCGGGUUGUAAACUCCUUUCGCCAGGGACGAAGCGUUUUGUGACGGUACCUGGAGAAGAAGCACCGGCUAACUACGUG